rnacentral:rRNA from 1 species
GACGAACGCUGGCGGCGUGCCUAAUACAUGCAAGUCGAACGCAGUUGCGAACGCGUGAGUAACGCGUAUGUAACUGCCUCAUAGGGGGGGAUAACUUAUGGGAACGAUUGCUAAUACCGCAUAGUGUGAGAUAGACCUGCGUUGUUUUAGGUAGUUGGUGAGGUAAAGGCUCACCAAGGCGACGAUACAUAACCAAGCUGAGAGGGUUAACGGCCCCACUGGGAAUGGGACAAGGGCCAGACUUCCACCGGAGGGCACAGUAGGGAAACUUUGGCAAAGGGCGGAAGUCCGAACGAGCAAAGCCGCGGGAGAUAAGAAAGGUUUCGGAUCGGAAAGGUCUGUUGGUAGAGAAGCGGUAACUAACGAGAAAGGGACGGCUAACUACGUGCCAGCAGCCGCGGUAAUAC